UUUACCUGCUAGGGGAGCCUUUGUGAAGGCUGAGAUUAGAGUGAAACUUUAAGACCCUUUGAACCUGAUCUGGAUGAUACCAGCGUAGGGAAGUGGAGUAUGUAAAAA
rnacentral:ncRNA from 2 species